UUUCCGUAGGUGAACCUGCGGAAGGAUCAUUAACGAGUUAGGGUCUACUAGGCCCGACCUCCCAACCCUUUGUUUACUGAACCAUUGUUGCCUCGGUGGGUCCGUCUUACGACCGCCGGGGGAUCGCCGCGAGGCGCCCCCUGGCCAGCGCCCACCGAUAGCCCAACCUUUAAAACCCUUUGUGAAUCGUGUCUUAUGUCUAAAUUUAUGAUUAAACAAUCAAAACAAAACUUUCAACAACGGAUCUCUUGGUUCUG
rnacentral:misc_RNA from 1 species